rnacentral:lncRNA from 1 species
AAGUUCACAAAUCUCCCAGUUAGACUUGUUUGGUCCAGCCCUGAGAUCCUAGACAGGGAAGAUAGAUUGACACAUUCCAUCAAAUUGUUUCUUCAUUUCAUAAUUGAGCUUUUGACAGAAUAAUGUCUGGCCUCCACCUGUGGGGAAGAGAUCUUUUUCUCCCUCGUUGGCCAAACCAAAUUUAGCAGCUUGUUCCCACAUUUAUGUCAUUUACGAAACUAUGGAGAUUCAAUUCAUUGCUCUUCACACAGAACUGUCUUCAACUGAGGACGCUUCUCUCUGUGACUGGGUGCCUUUGAAAGAAUUGUUCUAAUUCUUGUUACACCCUGCCACACCUCCAGCCAUUGAGGAUGCUUGACUUGGGGUUCCCUGCCACCUUUAAACCUUGCCAAGUGUACAUGGAGGCAUCACGCUGAGCCCUUGGGUGGAGAUAAAGCCUCACCAUUGCUCAACAAUGACCCACUUGGCAGACCGGGGAGUAAUACACUGAUGGGUUCAAAGGGGUCCUUUUGUGCUCCUGGGCUAGCCAGGACCAGAGACCUCCCUUGCACCAAGUUACCAUGCGGUAUUCCAAGGCGACCAUCACAAACACUGCGGUAACAGGACUAUUACCUGCAGCUCUUUGACUCAUGGUUGGAGCAUGGCUCACCAGCUGUUUAGCAAACAACAUGCUGAUAUGGCCGGGUCUGUGAAAGGUAUAAGGUGUAAAGUUGAGAAAAACAAGGGCGGAUCAAUCUCCGCCUCUUCCCCCGCCCUGGAGAAAAUGAUCCCAGGGUUCUGACCUGCAGAAGAGGAGAUGUCAGCCUUGGGAAAUGGACUUGAUAAUACCUUGCAUGAUUCAACACCAGCUGGAGAGUGGAUCCACUCUUUCCCAUUGUGAUGCUUGGGUUAACUGAAUGACUCCAUUUGAAAGGCACCGCUGUGCUGUUGUACCCAGUGGCAGGGAGCAAGCCUAUUGUUCCAAGUCCCAGAGAACACCAGGAAGAGGCGAGGAUGCCCCAUUUGGAAUCACAAAGUUUCGUUAUGGUACCAGAGG